CCCGGGAGAGGCCGGGCUAGCCGGGGCUUAGGAAGCAUCCCAGGCCCGCGCGGCGGCGCUGAUUCCUGGAAGCACGUCGGUCGGAGGCGGUGGAGCGAGCCCGGAGGCUAAGCCGGGCGGAGGAGCGGAGUCACGCGCUCGGGACCAUUGCUCGCUCCCUCGGCUCAGAGGACCCCCCCAGCUGAGCUGGGCCGCGUAGGGAAACUAUGCCAGGAAUUCGGCCCGGAACCGGCAGGGGGGGGGAGCGUGGUGCAGUCCGAGUGACCCGACCCGCGGGCCUCAGGACGUUAAACAGCCGCGGCUCCCUAGUCCUGCGGGGUGAGGUGCGGGAGCUUCGGACUCUACGCCUCAGCUUCGCCUCUUGAGCCUGGCGUCCCCACCCUGGCUGCUUGGCCUGAUAGGGACAGAGGUACCCGGAGAGGUGAAUAAAAGCAGUCUGCUGAUAAUUCAGUCUGAAGAAAGCACUUCGUUCCUGCUCUCUGGGGUGUGUGGUUUCCAGGUAACCAGCAGUAUUCUUACUUGGCUUUGUCUUUGCCCAUCCCAUCCAGGACCCAAAGCUGUGGAGCUGAACCGUGUUUGGCUAAAUUCUGCCAGGAUACAGGUAGAAUUUAGGGUCUCUGACACUGACCUUUUGUGAUUUGCACUAAACUCUUUCUAUCCUUGCAGUUUGUUCAAGAAAUCUCAGGUAUUAUAAUUUACAAAAUGGGAAAUGAUUGAUGUAUCAUCAUCAUCAUUGGGAGGUGGUUUGCCAUAAUUUAAAAGCUUUGGAGUCAGAAUUUAAUUUGAAUCUUGGCUUCCUUACUUAGUAAUUGAGCAACCUGGGGACUUGGGGCAGGUCCCUUAGUUUCUCUGAGCCUCACUUUCUGCAUCAAUCAGUUGAGAUGAAUCAUAACUACAUACAAAGCUGUUUGCUGACUAGAAAUAGUUCUAUUAAAUGCUGACACAGGAGUCCCUGUUGUGGUGCAGUGGAAACAAAUGUGACUAGUUUCCAUGAGGAUGAAGAUUUGAUCCCUGGCCUCGAUCAGUGGUUAAGGAUCUGGCAUUGCUGUGAGUUGUGGUGUAGGUCGAAGAUGAGGCUUCGAUCCCACAUUGCUGUGGCUGUAGCUGUGGCUGGCAGCUGCAGCUCUGAUUGGACCCCUAGCCUGGGAACUUCCAUAUGCCA
rnacentral:lncRNA from 1 species